rnacentral:lncRNA from 1 species
GUGUGGAUUUAUUUACAAACAAUUGAAAUGGUAAAUUCGCAACUUUGUGCACCUUACGUCAUGUUCUCUUGAUACCCAAAUUAUUAAAUGAGUUCUACUGGUAGUUGUACUAGUGGAACUUUUAAAGUGCAUCCAUUCAAUUAAAACUCACAGACUCUCCAAUGCUAAUACUAGAGAAAGGAACCUAUGAACUGUGCGGUUAUUUGUAGCGCAUAAAAUACAUAAAAACAUACAUAUCAAGUUAUCAACAUGUCAUACAAUAAUAAACUUUAUGAUAUCGUGAAUAUAUUUAUGAUUAACAAUCUCAGAAUGAGAGCUUAAACUAAAAUGUAAAGUAUAUAUAUAAAUAAUCACUCUAUAUGUAAAUAUAUAUGCAUGCAGCUUAUAAACAUUGUCUAUCUAUGCGGGGCUCUAAUUUUGAUUUAAAAACAUAGGCCUAGGCUGUUGCCUUAUUUUCAUAAGGGUAGGCAUGGCUUUGUUAUGCUCUAACUUAGAAGUAAAAAGUAUUUUUUUAAAAAAAUAAGUAGAAAAUGUAUUAGAAAAUAUAUGAAAAUUUAUCUACUUUUCAAAAAAAAAAUCAAACUAAUCAGAUAAUAAAUUUUGUAUUUUAUUAUUUUAUUAUUUCUAAAAAAUUCUAAAACUGUUUCUUUAUAAUAUUUUAAUAACUAAUAUGGGGUAAAAUAGACCAAAAUGGUAGAUAACUGAAAAUGUGAAUUAGGACAAAUAAUUACCUAAUUAAUUAAUUUGUUCCAUAUUAGCAAAUUAGGAUUGGGUACUAAUGUGUGUGAGAUAUCAAACUAAGUCCCACAUUGGAGAAUUAGACAAGAAGUGUCUAAUAUAUUAAGAGAUGUCCAACUCUAAUUAGUACGAGACCUUUUGGGAAGGAGCCCAAAAAUAAAUCCAUGCGGGCCAGCCAAUUAGAUCCAAAGUGUGCAAUAUCAUACUAAUCAGAUAAUAUAGAGUUGGACAUGGGCUCACACAAUUUUCAACAAUUGGUAUCAGAGCUAUUGACGAGAAAUCUGCAAGAAGACCAAAAUACCUUUUGAGAGAUGAAUGGCAUCCUAUGAGUUAGGAAUGAGAGGUGUGUGGCAGAGAUCAAGUCAAGAAGAUCCUGAAAGUCAGUUGUGGGACACGAGAUGAAUUGGUCCUUAGUUUGAGGGGGAGAAUGUGAGAUAUCAAACUAAAUCCCAUAUUGGAGAAUUAGACAAGGAGUAUCUAAUAUAUUAGGAAGGAGCCCAAAAGUAAAUCCAUGCGGACCAGCCAAUUAGACCCAAAGUGGACAAUAUCAUACUAAUCGGAUAAUAUAGUGUUGGACAUGGGCUCCCACAAUUUCAACAAUGGGUCUUUAAAUCUACGGGCUAUGGCCCACACACCCAUAAUACAAUCUUCAUCUUCUUGGUGGGUUUUUUUUCUUUUGUUUCUUCUUUUGUUUUUCUUUUCGUCUCUACUCCCUUUAAUUAAAAGCUUCGUGUUUGUUGUUGCAGGUUUGAAGGUUAAACUCUACUCUUAAGGUUGGUUUUUGUCUUUUAUCUAAGUUCAUGCUUUAGUCUCUCUCUCUAGCUUUAUAGUUCUUGUAUAAAGCUUAAAUCUCUAUUUUGUUAAUUUGUUGCUUUCGUCUGCCUUUAAUGUUUAUAUUUUCAUUUGAAAAAAAAAACUGAAAUGGUUAUUAAUUGAUGUUAUCAUUUCCUCUUGCAGUAUGAGUGACCGAGUAACCUAUCGUGAUAUGGGGAUCAUGGAAGAGGUUCUCAAUCAACGCCAAAAAUAGGUGUGUAAAAAAAAAUGGUUAAAUAUAUAUGAUUUUAAUUAUGUAUAAAAAGAAAAGUUAAGACCAACAUAAGUUAAUUUCAUAACACGUCUCAAGAUGUCUAAUUAAGAUUAUUUGGGAAUUGUUGUGAAAGUAAUGGAAAAGUCUAUCUUUAUUCAUAACAUAGAGGUUCCUUAUAUAGAAGAUUACACCGUCAUAGAUAAAUGGAAAGUGUACAAAUCAUAUUCCAACUAGGAAUAAGAAAAACAUAAAGACAUAAGGAAAAAGAAAAGGAAAAGCUGUCUAGCUGUACGUAUUGUUGUACACCGUAUCGACGAAUACCGAGGUAUGUUUAUUCUUGGCCCAGUUAAACCCAAUUUUUAAAGACACAUUAAAAUAAUCCUGCAGGAGAAUCUGAGACAGAUAGUUUAAAUGCAACUAGAAAAAAUAAUCAAUGAAGGAGUCCUAAUUAAGGAUUAAUUGUAUAAAAGCAUGUUGUAAUUAUAAUUAAUGCUGAUGGUAUAAUCUCUUGGUUAUGAGUCAUCCACAAUCUGGUUGAUAACAAGAAUCAAAUAUUGUAUAAUAUUGUAUACACCACUUCAUGACAUGCGUUAAUUAUAAUUACAACAUGCUUUUAUACAAUUAAUCCUUAAUUAGGACUCCAUCAUUGAUUAUUUUUUCUAGUUGCAUUUAAACUAUCUGUCUCAGAUUCUCCUGCAACCAAAACAAAAAAAAAUAUAAUCCAGCAGGAGAGUACAUUGGUGCGUUCAGACAAUAAACAGUUUAGUCUUCGUCAACGAACAAGAUCUCGACAGUAGAGUUCAAAAUAAAACACGCUCAAUGAUGAGCUUAUUUAAGCGGCUUCAAGCGAGCUUAUUUAAGCAGCUUCAAGCUCUCUGUUGUAAGCGAGGGUAAGACGGUCAAGCAUUUCUCCUGCGUUUCUGCUUGAGCUGUCCAUUGCAGACAUUCCAGCUCCCAUCUCACUACACGCAUUCUCCAGCACCGCAUUGAACAUUACCUAAAACGUAGAGUUUAUAAUUAACUCCCUAUGUUUCUUUCUAUCCGUUUAUAAACCAUAAAAGCAAAGUUUGUAUCUUAUUUGUGUUACUUACACAAGAGAACUGGAACUCAGCCAGAUUCUGCAGAAUCUCUCUCUUUGUUUCACCAGCUUCAAUCUCGCAUGAGUCAAGUUCACCGAGUUUGCCUCCAACUUCAAAUUCCUUUUCGAUAAUAUUUCAAGGCAAAAACAAGAAUAAAUAUAUGUGAGAUGCUAAGAACAAAGAGCAAAAAUGAUUGAAAAGAGGAUAUACUUUUCUAACGAUUUGCAGCCUCCUUCUUCAUACUGAUUGGAAAAACAGAUUAAAGGCUCUAGAAUAAAGAGUUACAUCUCAUCGUAUCAACAAACCCCUAAAACAUUAUUUUCUGGAGCUUCCACCACCGUUAACAAACGUAAAAGUAAAAAUGCCAACGGCCCUUAGCCACCUCCACGCAGUGUCUCAUCCUCCUCUUUAACCACAGAUGAUUUCAUGGAAAAUCCACCCAAGAUAAUGUAUAGAGAAUAUGAUUAGAAGAGUUAAAUCAUCACAAAGCCUCGUCUUUGAACGUAGAUGAAAAUCAAAAUAUAUACUGAAGAACGUACUAAGAGAGACGAAGAAGAAACUCAUCAGGAAGAAGAAGGCUUCGUGCUCUUCUCCUUGGAAUCAGAAGAUCCUUACUUUGAUUUGAAGAAAUCCAUGGAAAAGAUGGAGAAGUCGUCGCCGUUGGUGAAUCGGUGGAGAAGCAAUUCGGAGGGGAUCGGUUCCCCCGUGUCGAAGUAGAACACAGUGAUGUGGUUGUCAAUGUGGAGAUGAGCGGCGAAGAUGAAGCUCUUGAGAGAUUUUGAGAGUCCUUGCCGAUUGCCGGCAGUAGAGAGGAGAUGAUCUCCGGCGAAAGAGUUUUGUGUUUUGAUCAAAUAAGGACAGGAGCGGAGAGAGUGUGUGACUGAGGUAUCCACCGUAGGGUGCUUCGGCUAUCCAUUACUCCGCUGAGCCGGAACUGUUAGCUUUUAACCUAAUUAACGAUUGGAGAUCUAGAAUCUAAAAAGGCAAACAUUAUGUUCAAAGCAUACACAAAUAAUACAUUGGUCAAAAGUAACAUCGAAAGCAGAAAUAUUUAUUCUCUAAAUGGGGCCCGCUAAAUGAAUACCUGUCGCCGUGGACACUCUUAAGGGUAGCAAAAUUCUCCAACGAAACCAAAAGCUCAAAUGUGAAUCAAUGCCUUCUCAACAAAACAAAAUAAUGGGACAGUUGUCACCACCUCCUUGCCCUAUUUGAUGAGGUGGCAAGAGGAGAAGAAAAUAAUCUUAUUCUUUGCAUUAUAAGAUAUGUAAUUUAGCUACGUUAGAUCAUCAAAUAUUUACCAGAAUUCAUUUCCAAUCUUCGGUAGAAAUAAAUCAAACAUCAGAAUACAUGUUCUGCUCUGCGAACUGUGUAGGGAUUUAUGCUAGUGUGGAUUUAUUUACAAACAAUUGAAAUGGUAAAUUCACAACUUUGUGCACCUUACGUCAUGUUCUCUUGAUACCCAAAUUAUUAAAUGAGUUCUACUGGUAGUUGUACUAGUGGAACUUUUAAAGUGCAUGCAUUCAAUUAAAACUCACAGACUCUCCAAUGCUAAUACUAGAGAAAGGAACCUAUGAACUGUGCGGUUAUUUGUAGCGCAUAAAAUACAUAAAAACAUACAUAUCAAGUUAUCAACAUGUCAUACAAUAAUA